UCUGAUGUUAUGCAAUUACUAGCCACGCCUCUUCAGGCAAUAUAUGCGUAUAUAUAAAGGCAGUUGGGGCAGUGCAAUCAGUCACAAGCCUUCACGGAGAGACGCAGUCACACAGAGCCUCAGGACACAAGAGGAGUUACCAUGGCCAGAGUGCCUGACAUGUUUGAAGAGCUCAGUUCCUGCAACAGUGAAAAGGAGGGAUUGAUUUCGGAUAUUGACCAAGUCUCACUGAGUCAGGAGUCCUUCUACCCUACCUCCAGCCCACACCACAAAGAGAAUUGGACAAAAGUAGAGACUUCUGAGGAGACACGCCAUCUUAACUUACAAGACUGUGUGGCAGAAUCAGCUGCCCAACAGGAAAUAGAAAAGAAGAGACAACUUACCCGGAGGCAUCCCAUCACCAAUGAUUACUCGGUGAACGUUGCCAACAUUCCAGAAGAAGAUAAAGGUAAAUACCAAUGUCUUUUCCUCCAUUUCUGAGUGAAUAGUAAUAAGAAAAUGUGGGUGAUAUUGAAUCCAAA
rnacentral:lncRNA from 1 species